GGAAACCCAAGUAGCACCGGGCCCGUGAAAUCUGGUGUGAAUCUGUCGGGACCACCCGAUAAGCCUGAAUACUCCCUGGUGACCGAUAGCGGACUAGUACCGUGAGGGAAAGGUGAAAAGUACCCCGGGAGGGGAGUGAAAUAGUACCUGAAACCGUGCGCUUACAAUCCGUCAGAGCCUUCGAGCAGUUUACUGCUGGGGGUGAUGGCGUGCCUUUUGAAGAAUGAGCCUGCGAGUCAGGGACACGUCGCGAGGUUAACCCGUGUGGGGUAGCCGUAGCGAAAGCGAGUCUGAAUAGGGCGCCCAUAGUGGCGUGUUCUGGACCCGAAGCGGAGUGAUCUACCCAUGGCCAGGGUGAAGCGGCGGUAAGACGCCGUGGAGGCCCGAACCCACUUAGGUUGAAGACUGAGGGGAUGAGCUGUGGGUAGGGGUGAAAGGCCAAUCAAACUCCGUGAUAGCUGGUUCUCCCCGAAAUGCAUUUAGGUGCAGCGUCGCGUGUUUCUUGUUGGAGGUAGAGCUACUGGAUGGCCGAUGGGCCCUACUAGGUUACUGACGUCAGCCAAACUCCGAAUGCCAAUAAGUUAGAGCGCGGCAGUGAGACGGCGGGGGAGAAGCUCCGUACGUCGAGAGGGAAACAGCCCAGAUCGCCGGCUAAGGCCCCUAAGCGUGUACUAAGUGGAAAAGGAUGUGCAGUCGCGAAGACAACCAGGAGGUUGGCUUAGAAGCAGCCACCCUUGAAAGAGUGCGUAAUAGCUCACUGGUCAAGUGAUUGUGCGCCGACAAUGUAGCGGGGCUCAAGUACACCGCCGAAGCCGCGGCAUUCAUGCAAUACAUUCCCUUCGGGGCAGUGGCAUGGAUGGGUAGGGGAGCGUCCUGCACCCAGCGAAGCUGCGAAGUAAUUCAGCAGUGGAGGGUGCGGGAGUGAGAAUGCAGGCAUGAGUAGCGACAGGCAAGUGAGAAACUUGCCCGCCGAAUGACCAAGGGUUCCUGGGCCAGGCUAGUCCUCCCAGGGUAAGUCGGGACCUAAGGCGAGGCCGACAGGCGUAGUCGAUGGACAACGGGUUGAUAUUCCCGUACCCGUGUGUGCGCGCCCAUGAUGAAUCAUCGGUACUAACCACCCAAAAGGUUCUAGAUCAAUCUCUUCGGAGUGCGACGUGAACCCGCUGCGUGGGACCUUCGGUGGUAGUAGUCAAGCGAUGGGGUGACGCAGGAAGGUAGCUGUACCGGUUAGUGGUUAUACCGGAGCAAGCCCGUAGGACGACAUCUAGGCAAAUCCGGGUGUCAUACGUCUGAGAGGUGACGCAUAGCCGAUUGAGGCGAAUUCAGUGAUCCUAUGCUGCCAAGAAAAGCCUCUAGUGAGUUCACACACGGCCCGUACCCCAAACCAACACAGGUGGUCAGGUAGAGAAUACUAAGGCGUACGAGAUAACUAUGGUUAAGGAACUCGGCAAAAUACCCCCGUAACUUCGGGAGAAGGGGGACCUCGCUUGGUGACCGGACUUGCUCCGUGAGCUGAACGAGGUCGCAGAGACCAGUGAGAAGCGACUGUUUACUAAAAACACAGGUCCGUGCGAAGUCGCAAGACGAUGUAUACGGACUGACGCCUGCCCGGUGCUGGAAGGUUAAGAGGACCCGUUAACCCUUGGGUGAAGCGGAGAAUUUAAGCCCCAGUAAACGGCGGUGGUAACUAUAACCAUCCUAAGGUAGCGAAAUUCCUUGUCGGGUAAGUUCCGACCUGCACGAAUGGCGUAACGACUUCUCAACUGUCUCAACCAUAGACUCGGCGAAAUUGCACUACGAGUAAAGAUGCUCGUUACGCGCGGCAGGACGAAAAGACCCCGGGACCUUCACUAUAGCUUGGUAUUGGCGUUUGGUUCGGUUUGUGUAGGAUAGGUGGGAGACUGUGAAGCAGGCACGCCAGUGUUUGUGGAGUCAUCGUUGAAAUACCACUCUGAUCGUAUUGAACCUCUAACCUCGGACCGUAUAUCCGGUCCAGGGACAGUGCCUGGUGGGUAGUUUAACUGGGGCGGUUGCCUCCCAAAAUGUAACGGAGGCGCCCAAAGGUUCCCUCAACCUGGACGGCAAUCAGGUGUUGAGUGCAAGUGCACAAGGGAGCUUGACUGCGAGACCUACAAGUCAAGCAGGGACGAAAGUCGGGACUAGUGAUCCGGCACCUCUGAGUGGAAGGGGUGUCGCUCAACGGAUAAAAGUUACUCUAG
rnacentral:rRNA from 1 species